UUGCAUGUGGGUUGUUAGUGUUCCGGAAUAUCCGGGUAUCGUUUUUCUUAUUAGGAGUAAAGAAUAACAUCCGUGUUGAGUUUCAAGCUGUAGUCGGCACGUGGACUUGUUUUAUCUAAUGUUUACAUCAUAAUACCUGAUAGAUGACUGUGGUCAUUUUUGUGAAAUAAAACGUGACAAAUAGAACUGGUUCUUAUUUACCUACCAUCCGGGACAGGACCUUUUAGACAUUACCUUACAGACGCAGAGAGAAAGCAGAAUCGUGGGAGGUGGAGACGCCCAAAUCAAUGACUUUCCGUGGCAGGCCUCGCUGGAGUCUUCCGGACAAC